rnacentral:miRNA from 1 species
AUAGCUCUGGAAAUGGCGCUGC